UACAGAGGGGGCAAGCGUUGUUCGGAAUUACUGGGCGUAAAGCGCGCGCAGGCGGUUUCUUAAGUCUGAUGUGAAAGCCCGUGGCUCAACCACGGAGGGUCAUUGGAAACUGGGAAGCUUGAGUGCAGAAGAGGAGAGUGGAAUUCCACGUGUAGCGGUGAAAUGCGCAGAUAUCAGGAGGAACACCGGUGGCGAAGGCGGGUCUCUGGGCCGAUAUUGACGCUGAGGAGCGAAAGCGUGGGGAGCAAACAGG
rnacentral:rRNA from 1 species